rnacentral:rRNA from 1 species
GAUGAACGCUGGCGGCGUGCUUAACACAUGCAAGUCGAACGAGAAGUGGAGACGGAAACCUUCGGGCGGAAGACUUUAUUUCGAGUGGCGGACGGGUGAGUAACGCGUGGGUAACCUGCCUCAUACAGGGGGAUAACAGUUGGAAACGACUGUUAAUACCGCAUAAGACCACAGCACCGCAUGGUGCGGGGGUAAAAACUCCGGUGGUAUGAGAUGGACCCGCGUUCGAUUAGCCAGUUGGCGGGGUAACGGCCCACCAAAGCGACGAUCGAUAGCCGAUCUGAGAGGAUGACCGGCCACAUUGGGACUGAGACACGGCCCAAACUCCUACGGGAGGCAGCAGUGGGGAAUAUUGCACAAUGGGGGAAACCCUGAUGCAGCGACGCUGCGUGAGUGAAGAAGUAUUUCGGUAUGUAAAGCUCUAUCAGCAGGGAAGAAAAUGACGGUACCUGAGUAAGAAGCCCCGGCUAACUACGUG